rnacentral:rRNA from 1 species
GUGCCAGCAGCCGCGGUAAUACCGGCAGCACGAGUGAUGGCCGAUAUUAUUGGGCCUAAAGCGUCCGUAGCCGGCCAGACAAGUCCGUUGGGAAAUCGACGCGUUCAACGCGUUGGCGUCCAGCGGAAACUGUCUGGCUUGGGGCCGGAGGACUCGAGGGGUACGUCCGGGGUAGGAGUGAAAUCCCGUAAUCCUGGACGGACCACCGGUGGCGAAAGCGCCUCGAGAAGACGGACCCGACGGUGAGGGACGAAAGCUAGGGUCUCGAACCGGAUUAGAAACCCCCGGUAGUCC